GGCUGUAAGUAUUUGGCUUUAUUUCUGUGUUCUCUCUUUCCAUUGGUCUACCUGUCUGUUUUUAUACCAGUACCAUGCUGUUCUGGUAACUAUAGCCUUGUAAUAUAGUUCAAAGUCAAGUAAUGUGAUGCCUCCAGAUUUGUUCUUUUUGCUUAGUCUUGCUUUGGCUAUGUAGGCUCUUUUUUUUGUUCCAUAUGAAUAUUAGGAUUUUUUUUUUCUGGUUCUGUGAAGAAUUAUGGUGGUAUUUUGAUGGGAAUUGCAUUGAAUUUAUAGAUUGCUUUUGGUAGAUGGCCAUUUUCACAAUAUUGAUUCUACCCAUCCAUGAGAAUGGGAUGUGUUUCCAUUUGAUUGUGUCAUCUGCGAUUUCUUACACCAGUGUUUUGUAGUUUUUCUUAUAGAUAUCUUUCACUUACUUGUGAAGGUGUAUUUCUAAGUAUUUUAUUUUUUGUAGGUGUCGUAAACAAGUUUGAAUUUUUUAUUUGAUUCUCAGCUUGGUCACUGUUGGUGUAUAGUAGUGUUACUGAUUUGUGUACAUUGAUUUUGUAUCCUGAAACUUUACUGAAUUCGUUUAUCAGAUCUAGGAGCUUUUUGGAUGAGUCUUUAGGGUUUCCUAGGUAUACAGUCAUGUCAUCAGUGAACAGCAACAGUUUGACUUCUUCCUCUUUACCAAUUUGGAUGUCCUUUAUUUCUUUAUCUUGUCUGAUUGUUCUAGCUAGGACAAAGAGCUGUUUUUAAUUUUAAAAAUACAUGUGUCCCUAACUCAUUUUCUCUCUCAGUUCCAGUGUCUCGCCCCAUCCUCACCCUCAGGGUUCCCAGGGCCCAGGCUGUGGUGGGGGACCAGCUGGAGCUUCACUGUGAGGCCCCGAGAGGCUCUACCCCAAUCCUGUACUGGUUUUAUCAUGAGGAUGUCACCCUGGGGAGCAUCUCAGCCCCCUCUGGAGGAGAAGCUUCUUUCAACCUCUCUCUGACUGCAGAACAUUCUGGAAACUACUCAUGUGAGGCCAACAAUGGCCUAGUGGCCCAGCACAGUGACACAGUAUCACUCAGUGUUGUAGUUCCAGUAUCUCGUCCCAUCCUCACCUUCAGGGCUCCCAGGGCCCAGGCUGUGGUGGGGGACCUGCUGGAGCUUCACUGUGAGGCCCUGAGAGGCUCCCCCCCAAUCCUGUACUGGUUCUAUCAUGAAGAUGCCACCCUGGGUAAGAUCUCAGCCCCCUUUGGAGGAGGAGCCUCCUUCAACCUCUCUCUGACUACAGAACAUUCUGGAAUCUACUCCUGUGAGGCGGACAAUGGUCUGGAAGUCCAGCGCAGUGAGAUAGUGACACUGAAAGUUGCAGUUCCGGUAUCUCGCCCCAUCCUCACCCUCAGGGCUCCCGGGGCCCAUGCUGCGGUGGGGGACCUGCUGGAGCUUCACUGUGAGGCCCUGAGAGGCUCUCCCCUGAUCCUGUACCGGUUUUAUCAUGAGGAUGUCACCUUAGGAAAUAGCUCGGCCCCCUCUGGAGGAGCGUCCUUCAACCUCUCUCUGACUGCAGAACACUCUGGAAACUACUCCUGUGAGGCUGACAAUGGCCUCGGGGCCCAGCGCAGUGAGACAGUGACACUUUAUAUCACAGGGCUGACCGCGAACAGAAGUGGCCCUUUUGCCACAGGCGUCACCGGGGGCCUGCUCAGCAUAGCAGGCUUUGCUGCUGGGGCACUGCUGCUCUACUGCUGGCUCUCGAGAAAAGCAGGGAGAAAGCCUGCCUCUGACCCCGCCAGGAGCCCUUCAGACUCAGACUCCCAAGAGCCCACCUAUCACAAUGUACCAGGCUGGGAAGAGCUGCAACCAGUGUACAGUAACGCAAAUCCCAGAGGAGAAAAUGUGGUUUACUCAGAAGUCCGGAUCAUCCAAGAGAAAAAGAAACAUGCAGUGGCCUCUGACCCCAGGCAUCUCAGGAACAAGGUGAGUCUCCCCUUCUGCAUGCCCUCCCCCACCCCCAGGCCCACCCUGGUCCUCACGCAUGUGCUCUUGCUUCCUAGGGUUCCCCUAUCAUCUACUCUGAAGUUAAGGUGGCAUCAACCCCGGUCUCCGGAUCCCUGUUCUUGGCUUCCUCAGCUCCUCACAGAUGAGUCCACACGUCUCUGCAACUGCUGUUUCAGCCUCUGCACCCCAAAGUUCCCCUUGGGGGAGAAGCAGCAUUGAAGUGGGAAGAUUUAGGCUGCCCCAGACCAUAUCUACUGGCCUUUGUUUCACAUGUCCUCAUUCUCAGUCUGACCAGAAUGCAGGGCCCUGCUGGACUCUCACCUAUUUCCCAGUUACAACCCUGACUGGCAGGUUGUUGAAUCCAGUGGCAGGGUGCUCCCACCCCAGGGCCCAGCACAUCUCCUGGAUUCCUUAGUGGGCUUCAGCUGUGGUUGCUAUUCUGAGUACUGCUCCCAUCACACCCCCACAGAGGGGUUCUUACCACACAAAGGGAGAGUGGGCCUUCAGGAGAUGCCGGGCUGGCCUAACAGCUCAGGUGCUCCUAAACUCCAACACAGAGUUCCUGCUUUGGGUGGAUGCAUUUCUCAAUUGUCAUCAGCCUGGUGGGGCUACUGCAGUGUGCUGCCAAAUGGGACAGCACACAGCCUGUGCACAUGGGACAUGUAAUUGAUCUCCCCACAGGCUGCAUUUCACACUCCUCCACCUGUCUCAAACUCUGAAGUCGGCACUUGACACCAAGGUAACUUCUCUCCUGCUCAUGUGUCAGUGUCUACCUGCCCAAGUAAGUGGCUUUCAUACACCAGGUCCCAAGUACUUCCCAUCCUAACAGAAGUAACCCAGCAAGUCAAGGCCAGGAGGACCAGGGGUGCAGACAGAACACAUACUGGAACACAGGAGGUGCUCAAUUACUAUUUGACUGACUGACCGAAUGAAUGAAUGAAUGAAUGAAUGAAUGAAUGAAUGAGGAAGAAAACUGUGGGUAAUCAAACUGGCAUAAAAUCCAGUGCACUUCCUAGGAAAUCCAGGAGGUAUUCUGGCUUCCCUGAGUAAGAAACAAUGGAAGAGAAGGAGCUUGGGUGAUGCAACUGUUCAGCAAGAGGAAGGGCUUCUCACACUUUCAUGUGCUUGUGGAUCACCUGAGGAUCCUGUGAAAAUACAGAUACUGAUUCGGUGGGUCUGCGUAGAGCCUGAGACUGCCAUUCUAACAUGUUCCCAGGGGAUGCUGAUGCUGCUGGUCCUGGGACCGCACUGCAUGCAUUUGAGGCCCUGUAGGUCUCAGCAGAGGCCCAUGGAGAGGCAGUGUGUGGCUCUGGCUGCCCAGGGCCCAACUCGAUUCACACGGAUUAUGCUGCUCCCUGGCCAGCCCUUGGCCACAGCACCACCAGCUGCUGUUGCUGAGAGAGCUUCUUCUCUGUGACAUGUUGGCUUUCAUCAGCCACCCUGGGAAGGGGAAAGUAGCUGCCACUAUCUUUGUUUCCCCACCUCAGGGCUCACACUUUCCCAAGAAAAGGGUGAAUGUAUACGUGAGCCCUCUCCAUUCAGAGUUGUUCUCCCAUCUCUGAGCAAUGGGAUGUUCUAUUCCACUUUUAUGAUAUCCAUCACAUAUUAUCUUGAUCUUUGAUCCCAGUGGAUUGUACAGUGAUCACUUUUAAGCCCCAUGGCCCUGAAAAAAAAUCCUUCCAAGGGCAUUGGAAGCUCACUCCACCUGCCACAUGGCUUUUCAUGCUUCCAAGUGUCAGGGCCUCGCCCAGAUAGACAGGGCUGGCUCUGCUGCCCCAACCUUUCAAGGAGGAAACCAGACACCUGAGACAGGAGCCUGUAUGCAGCCCAGUGCAGCCUUGCAGAGCACAAGGCUGGAGGCAUUUGUCAUCACUACAGAUAUGCAACUAAAAUAGAAGUGGAGCAAGAGAAAUGCAUUCCCACCGAGGCCGCUUUUUUAGGCCUAGUUGAAAGUCAAGAAGGAGAGCAGUAAGCAUAGGCUCAGGAUUAAAAAAAAAAUCUGCUCACAGUCUGUUCUGGAGGUCACAUCACCAACAAAGCUCGCGCCCUAUGCAGUUCUGAGAAGGCGGAGGCACCAGGCUCAAAAGAGGAAAUUUAGAAUUUCUCAUUGGGAGAGUCAGGUACCCCCCAUACCAGAAUGAUAACCGCACAGUGGCAGAACAAACUCCACCCUAACGUGGGUGGACCCUGUCCAGUCUGUUGAAGGCCUGAAUAUAACAAAAGGGCUGAUUCUUCCUCAAGUAAGGGGGAACUCCUCCUGCUUUGGGCUGGGACAUAAGUUUUUCUGCUUCCAGACGCAAACUGAAAAAUGGCUCUUCUUGGGUCUUGAGCUUGCUGGACUGAAAGAAACUACACUACUGGAUCUCCUGGAUCUCCAGCCUGCUGACUGCAGAUCUUGAAACAUGUCAGCCUCUACAGUCACAAGAGCUAAUUCAUUCUAAUAAACCAAUCUCUCUGU
rnacentral:sRNA from 1 species